GCCGGGCGUGGUGGCGCGCGCCUGUAGUCCCAGCUACUCGGGAGGCUGAGGUGGGAGGAUCGCUUGAGUCCAGGAGUUCUGGGCUGCAGUGCGCUAUGCCGAUCGGGUGUCCGCACUAAGUUCGGCAUCAAUAUGGUGACCUCCCGGGAGCGGGGGACCACCAGGUUGCCUAAGGAGGGGUGAACCGGCCCAGGUCGGAAACGGAGCAGGUCAAAACUCCCGUGCUGAUCAGUAGUGGGAUCGCGCCUGUGAAUAGCCACUGUACUCCAGCCUGGGCAAUACAGUGAGACCCUGUCUCUU
ensembl:misc_RNA Metazoa_SRP Metazoan signal recognition particle RNA